rnacentral:tRNA from 1 species
GAUAGCGUGGCCGAGCGGUCAAAGGCGCGGGAUUUAAGCUCCAGUCUCUUUCGGGACGUGGGUUCGAAUCCCUCCGCUAUCA